UGUGGACAGGUUGCCCACAGCUCA
rnacentral:misc_RNA from 1 species